rnacentral:rRNA from 12 species
GACUCUCGGCAACGGAUAUCUUGGCUCUCGCCACGAUGAAGAACGUAGCGAAAUGCGACACUUGGUGUGAAUUGCAGAAUCCCGUGAAUCAUCGAGUCUUUGAACGCAAGUUGCGCCCGAGGCUUCGGCCGAGGGCACGUCUGCCUGGGCGUCGCACUCCAA